rnacentral:rRNA from 1 species
UGCUUCUCUUGAGAGCGGCGGACGGGUGAGUAAUGCCUAGGAAUCUGCCUGGUAGUGGGGGAUAACGUCCGGAAACGGACGCUAAUACCGCAUACGUCCUACGGGAGAAAGCAGGGGACCUUCGGGCCUUGCGCUAUCAGAUGAGCCUAGGUCGGAUUAGCUAGUUGGUGGGGUAAUGGCUCACCAAGGCGACGAUCCGUAACUGGUCUGAGAGGAUGAUCAGUCACACUGGAACUGAGACACGGUCCAGACUCCUACGGGAGGCAGCAGUGGGGAAUAUUGGACAAUGGGCGAAAGCCUGAUCCAGCCAUGCCGCGUGUGUGAAGAAGGUCUUCGGAUUGUAAAGCACUUUAAGUUGGGAGGAAGGGCAGUAAAUUAAUACUUUGCUGUUUUGACGUUACCGACAGAAUAAGCACCGGCUAACUCUGUGCCAGCAGCCGCGGUAAUACAGAGGGUGCAAGCGUUAAUCGGAAUUACUGGGCGUAAAGCGCGCGUAGGUGGUUCGUUAAGUUGGAUGUGAAAUCCCCGGGCUCAACCUGGGAACUGCAUUCAAAACUGACGAGCUAGAGUAUGGUAGAGGGUGGUGGAAUUUCCUGUGUAGCGGUGAAAUGCGUAGAUAUAGGAAGGAACACCAGUGGCGAAAGCGACCACCUGGACUGAUACUGACACUGAGGUGC